rnacentral:snRNA from 1 species
GCAUUGAGUCGUAAAUAAGUUCU